CCUACGGGUGGCAGCAGUGAGGAAUAUUGGUCAAUGGGCGGGAGCCUGAACCAGCCAAGUAGCGUGAAGGAUGACAGCCCUAUGGGUUUUAAACUUCUUUUAUAAGGGAAUAAAGUGCCCCACGUGUGGGGUUUUGUAUGUACCUUAUGAAUAAGCAUCGGCUAAUUCCGUGCCAGCAGCCGCGGUAAUACGGAAGAUGCGAGCGUUAUCCGGAUUUAUUGGGUUUAAAGGGAGCGUAGGCGGUUCCAUAAGUCAGCGGUAAAAUCGUGCGGCUCAACCGUACCGUGCCGUUGAAACUGUGGGACUUGAGUAUGCGCAGGGUACAUGGAAUUCAUGGUGUAGCGGUGAAAUGCUUAGAUAUCACGAAGAACUCCGAUUGCGAAGGCAGCUUACUAAACUGCCACUGACAUUGAUGCUCGAAAGUGUGGGUAUCAAACAGGAUUAGAUACCCGUGUAGUC
rnacentral:rRNA from 1 species